UACGAAGGGGGCUAGCGUUGUUCGGAAUUACUGGGCGUAAAGCGCACGUAGGCGGACUGACAAGUCAGGGGUGAAAUCCCGGGGCUCAACCUCGGAACUGCCUUUGAUACUGCCAGUCUCGAGUCCGGAAGAGGUGGGUGGAAUUCCUAGUGUAGAGGUGAAAUUCGCAGAUAUUAGGAAGAACACCGGUGGCGAAGGCGGCCCACUGGUCCGGUACUGACGCUGAGGUGCGAAAGCGUGGGGAGCAAACAGG
rnacentral:rRNA from 1 species